CCUACGGGUAGCAGCAGUGGGGAAUAUUGCACAAUGGGGGAAACCCUGAUGCAGCGACGCCGCGUGAGUGAAGAAGUAAUUCGUUAUGUAAAGCUCUAUCAGCAGGGAAGAAAAUGACGGUACCUGAGUAAGAAGCCCCGGCUAACUACGUGUCAGCAGCCGCGGUAAUACGUAGGGGGCACGCGUUAUCCGCAGUGACUGGGUGUAAAGGGGGCGUAGACGGGAGUGCAGGUCUGGAGUGAAAGGCGAGGGCUCAACCCCCGUGCUGCUAUGGAUACUGUACGGCUGGAGUGCAGGAGAGGUAAGUGGAAUUCCUAGUGUAGCGGUGAAAUGCGUAGAUAUUAGGAGGAACACCAGAGGCGAAGGCGACUAACUGGACUGUAACUGACGCUGAGGCUCGAAAGCGUGGGGAGCAAACAGGAUUAGAUACCCUUGUAGUC
rnacentral:rRNA from 1 species